rnacentral:lncRNA from 1 species
CUUGUGGAUCGAUGAUCAUAUAGUGGGUAUGAUGUGAUUUCUUCAACUGGUUGUACACUCUCUUGAAGGUUUCUUGCUAGUGACGGGCUUACCUCUGAGCCCCCCAGAUUAGGCCAUUUCAGGCUGAACUGGGUGAAAAUUUCUGUGUUCGAUUUUCUGUUCCUGCUUUAUUUUACUGUUUUACGAUUGUUUGUUGGUGUUGGGUCGAUAAUCCUAACAAAUCUGGUAUCAGAGCUCGGUUUUCGAGGCAUCUGCGUGACAUACCUUGCCCUGAGGAUAUUUUAGUGGGUUGAGAAAAAGGUUAAACGGUCGAACAUAUUUUUUUUUCGGAUCAGCAGAUUUUUUUUUCGGAUAUUUCUUGAGAUUUUAAUUUCUGUCCAGAUCUUAAAGAUCUGCACAGAUAUUUAGGAAACUAAUUUUUCUAUUUAAGUGCGAAGGUUAAGAACAAAAAUUAGUCAGCCCCUGACCGGCUCCAUUUUUGGCAAGUGAUAGGGUGAUCUCUGAAACUCUUGUGAUUGCACUGUUGUUCAACGGUGCUGUGGGUGAGAUCUAAAUAAUAAAAGAGCCCGUAUAAUUUUGGUGCACAAAAUUGCAUGUUUAUUGCUCUGUGGAUUAAUUACUGAAAUUGUACAUUGUGCAUUGAUAAUUGAUCUGACAAUAGGAGCAUGUUUUAGGAAUUAUACAAAGUUCUUUAUAUUUGUUGAGUAAUUCCUUGUAUUCCAACACAUUGAUUGCUUGUGUACAUUGUUUUCAGUUAUGCAAGUUAGGAUAAUUGUUUUUCAUUCUGUAAUCUGCAUUCCUUAAAUCAGUUAGGAAGUUUCUUGGUUUUGUUUUUUGUAAUCAUAUAUUGAGGUGUCUGUUAUGGCUUCCAGUAGUAGCCACCCCUUUUCAGAACCUAUGAUGGGUUCGAAAGUCGAACUAUCACAAUUCGAUGGAAAGGGGGAUUACUCGAUUUGGAAGCAAAAAAUGAGGGCCAUAUUGGUCCAACAGAGGGUUGCUAAAGCCCUGGACGACCCUGACAAAUAUUCUGAUGAACUUAAAGCCAGACCAGAUGAGAUUCUUGAAAUGAAUGAAAUAACUUAUAGUUCGAUUAUCCUGCACUUAUCUGAUAAUAUUGUAAGACAAGUAGAAGAAUCCAAAACUGCUAGAGAUCUUUGGACAGCCUUAGAUAACUUGUUCUUAACCAAGACUUUACCAAAUAAAAUUUAUCUCCUGGAAAAACUGUUUAGCUUUAAAAUGGAUGAUCGAAAAGACCUGGAAACCAAUUUGAGUGAUUUUAGCAUACUGGUGAAGAGUCUUGCUCAUAAUGAUAAAAAAUUUGAAGAUGAGGAUCUUGCAGUAAUCCUUCUAAACUCUUUACCUGAUUCUCUUAAGGAUAUCAAAAAUGCUAUAAAAUACUCAAGAGAUGCAUUAACACAAUCAAUCGUGACAAAUGCCCUAAGAUCUAGGGAACUGGAAGUCAAGAAAGAAUCUAAACUAAACUCAAGAGAAGAGAGUUUAUUUGUGAGAGGAAGACAAGAAAAGAGGGAAAGUAAUUCCCAGAACAAAAGAUUCAAGUCCAAAUCCAGAACCAGAUCUAAAUCAAGAGACAAAAGCAAUAAAAAAUGCUAUCACUGUGGGAAACUUGGACAUUUUAAAAGAGACUGUUAUGAGCUAAAGAAGAAGCUAAAAGAAUCCAGCAACAUUGAGUUAAAUAAUGCUGCUGUGAGUUCUGAACUUGACAGUCUUCUUGUAAUGACUGUGACAAAUGAAGAAACAGAUACUAAUUGGAUUCUGUAUGUACAUUUCAUAUGUGCCCAAACAAAUCUUGGUUUCAUAACUACAAGGAGAUAGAACACAGAAAAGUAUAUAUGGGUGAUAACAAUUCACAAAAUGUAUUGGGAAUUGGGGACAUUUCAAUCAAAAUGUAUGAUGGAAGUGUUAGACUGAUUAAAAAUGUGAGAUAUGUCCUAAAGCUAAAAAGAAACCUCAUUUCAUUGGGGAUUCUUGAAGAUGAGGGACAUACAUUUAAAUCUGAAAAUAACACUUUGAAAAUCUUGAAAGGAUCUCUUGUAGUCAUGAAAGGGCCUAAAAGGAAUGGGCUAUAUUACUUAAUGGGAAAAGCUGUUAAUUCCCAGGACUCAAAUUCUUUAACUAUAACUGAGUGCAAAUCUGAAUUGUGGCAUUGUAGAAUGGGUCAUAUUGGAAAUAAGGGCUUAAAGUAUCUUAAUGACCAGAAAUUGUUUGGGAAAGAUAAAGUCGAACCCCUUAACUUUUGUGAAACAUGUGUGUUAGGGAAGUCUCAUAGAGUGAGUUUUGAGACUGGGUCACACACAACAAAUAGACCUUUGGACUAUGUCCAUGCGGAUUUAUGGGGGCCAGAAAAUCACCCAACCUCUGGUGGAAAUAAAUGUUUUUUUUCUAUAAUUGAUGAUUAUUCUAGAAAGGUCUGGACCUACCCUUUGAAAUCCAAAAAUGAAACUUUUCAAAAAUUCAGAUUGUGGUUAAAGAUGGUUGAGAACCAAUUGGACAAGAAAUUAAAAACCUUAAGGACAGAUAAUGGGUUGGAAUUUUGCAAUGCUGAAUUUGAUAAUUUUUGCAAGCAAAAAGGAAUUAUUAGACAUAGAACUGUUAAGCAUACUCCCCAACAAAAUGGGGUUGCUGAGAGAAUGAAUAAAACCCUUAUGAAUAAGGUAAGAUGUAUGCAGAUCAGUUCUGGGCUUGCAAAAGGAUUUUGGGCAGAGGCUUUAUGCACUGCUGCCUACCUCAUAAAUAGGUCCCCUUGUAGUUCUGUAGAAUUUAAAACUCCACAGGAACUAUGGACUGGAAAACCACCAAAUCUGUCACACUUAAGAGUUUUUGGUUGUGCUGCAUAUGCACAUCAAGUUGAGGGAAAAUUAGACCCGAGGGCUACCAAGUGUGUUAUGCUUGGAUACCCUGAAGGGGUUAAAGGGUACAGGUUAUGGGUACUUGGUAUUAAAUGAAUAAAAAUCAUUAAUAGCAGAAAUGUGGUGUUUAAUGAAACUGAGAUGCCAUGUUUGAAGAGUAAUAUGGAUAAAUCAGAUCUGGCUGAAAAGGGUACUUCCCAAAGUGAGGUGAAGUUGGCAAAAUUAAAUAACAGCAGAUCUGAUGUAACUGAAUCAGAACCUGUACAGGUCAUUGAAAGUAUAGAAAAUACUGAUGAAGGUGAAGUUGAUCCACCCCAAACUGGAACUGAAACAGAAUCUGAAACAAUGGCAUCUAACUACCCAGAAAAUGAACCUAGUACCAAAGAUUAUCAAUUGGUUAGAGAUAGGGACAGGAGACAGAUUAAACCUAACCUUAGGUAUGAAAUGAAUAAUCUGACCGAAUUUGCCUUCAUCUCUGGUGAAAACUUAGAACAUUCUGAACCCUUUUCUUAUGAAGAAGCAAUGAAUAGUUCUAAGUCAAAAGAAUGGAAAGAAGCAAUGAAAGAAAAAAUGAAAUCCCUUCUUGAAAAUAAAACCUGGAAACUUGUAAAGAAGCCAAAGAACCAAAGAGUGGUUCAGUGUAAGUGGAUCUUUAAGUUGAAGGAAGGUAUUUCUGAAUCUGAUCCUUUGAGGUAUAAGGCAAGGCUUGUAGCUAAAGGGUUCACUCAAAGGGAGGGAGUUGAUUACAAUGAAAUUUUUUCACCUGUAAUCAAAUAUAAAACCAUAAGACUCAUUUUGGCUCUAGUUGUUCAAUUUGAUUGGGAAUUAGAACAAUUAGAUGUGAAAACUGCCUUUUUACAUGGGGAAUUGGAAGAGGACAUUUAUAUGUGUCAACCUCAAGGUUUCGAAGAAAGGGGAAAAUCUGAUUUUGUUUGUAAAUUGCAAAAAUCACUGUAUGGACUGAAACAAAGUCCAAGACAGUGGUAUAUAAGGUUUGACACAUAUGUUUUGAAAAUUGGUUUUAGAAGGAGUAAAUAUGAUCACUAUUUAUACUAUAAUAAUUCUAAAACCGAGUCUAAAACGUAUCUACUACUCUACGUAGAUGAUAUGCUUCUUGCCAGCCCCAGUAAAGCUGAAAUAAUGAGGCAUUAAGAUCCGAAUUUGAUAUGAAAGACUUAGGAAAUACCAAGAAAAUUUUAGGGAUGGUGAUAAAUCGAAAUAGGCAAGAAAACAUGCUAACCAUAUCACAAGAACCCUACCUGCACAAAGUUAUAACGAAGUUUGGUAUGAAAGAAGCUAAGUCCGUCAAUGUUCCCCUUGCUGCCCAUAUGAAUCUCUCAUCAGCCCAGUGUCCAAAAACUGAAUCUGAAAUUAAAGAUAUGACAAAUAUCCCAUAUGCCAAUGCAAUUGGAUCUGUUAUGUUUUCCAUGAUUACAACACGACCAGAUCUUGCAUAUUCAAUCAGUUUUUUAAGUAGGUUUAUGGCAAACCCUGGAAAACCACAUUGGGCUGGGUUAAAGUGGCUACUUAGAUACAUAGUUGGGACCCUAAAUGUAGGAUUGGUGUUCAAAAAGGGAUCGGAACCAUUAACUCUUAAAGGAUAUGUGGAUUCCGAUUUCGCUGGAGAUAAAGAUCAAAGAAAGUCUACAACUGCCUUCUUUUUUACACUUGGUGAUAAUUGUAUUACGUGGAAGUCUCAACUUCAAUCGAUUGUAACUUUGUCUAGCACUGAAGCUGAAUAUGUGGCAAUUACUGAAUGUGUAAAAGAAUGCAUGUGGCUUAAAGGGAUCCUAACUGAACUGAAUUUUCUAAAUACUCCACUUGUGAUAUUAACUGAUAGUCAAAGUGCUUUACUUUUAAGCAAAAAUCCUGUCUAUCAUGAAAGGUCAAAACACAUUGAGGUGAAGUAUCAUUUCAUAAGAGAAAAACUCUCAUCUGGUGAAAUGGCUCUUGAGAAAAUUCAUACUGAUUUUAAUCCUGCUGAUAUGGGGAUUAAAGUACUGACUGUUAAUAAAUUCAGAUCUUGUUUAUCAUUGCUUAAUAUUGAUACAGGUUGAUUUUUUGUGCAGGUACUUGGGCGAUGAUGUAGGGUACGGUUCUGUCACUAGCAUUAUAGCAACAAGAGAGGAAGUGCGCGGUUUGAGAACCAAGGUGAAGAUUUGUGAAGUCGUGAUUAUCAAACAGCACAUCCAUAAGUGAAAAAACGUUUUCUACUCUUUAUACUCCAUGGACAGAUGGCAUUCGGUUAUUGGAUAAAAUAAUGUCACUAGAGUUGUGGUUUUUCUCUUAUCAUGUAUGGACCAUUGAUCCACAUCUAUGGUUGAGAUUUAGUCUCAUAUAAUUAAUGCAAAGGGAGAUUUUAAGGGUUGGUGAGAAGAAGUCAGCCGGCACUUUUUCUUUUCAUUUGGCAGAAAUUGUCCCUUCAAGUUUCUCUCUCUCUCUCUCUCUCUCUUUCCUUCAUGUUUCUGCUUCUUCUUUUCUCUUUUGAAUUGAAGAACCAAUGAAGAUUAUUGUAAUAAUCUUGUUGUUAUCUGAUGAUGAUAGAACUAUGGUACAGAGUUUUAGGCCUUGAUUGUGGCUGGUAAAUCUGUAGUGUGUUCUUGGGAAGGUUUUGUCUAGUCUUGUGGCUAGGUUUUCGAGUUAUUGAGAGAUCCUUGUGGAUCGAUGAUCAUAUAGUGGGUAUGAUGUGGUUUCUUCAACUGGUUGUAUACUCUCUUGAAGAUUUCUUGCUAGUGACGGGCUUACCUCUGAGCCCCCCCAGAUUAGGCCAUUUCAGGCUGAGCUGGGUGAAAAUUUCUGUGUUCGAUUUUCUGUUCUUGCUUUAUUUUACUGUUUUACGAUUGUUUGUUGGUGUUGGGUCGAUAAUCCUAACAA